rnacentral:rRNA from 1 species
UACGGAGGGUGCAAGCAUUAAUCGGAUUUAUUGGGCGUAAAGGGCGCGUAGGCGGGGAAGUCAGUCAGAUGUGAAAGCCCAGGGCUCAACCCUGGAACAGCAUUUGAAACUACUUUUCUAGAGGGUAGGCGGAGAAAACAGAAUUCCACGUGUAGCGGUGAAAUGCGUAGAUAUGUGGAGGAAUACCGGUGGCGAAGGCGGUUUUCUAGCUUAUACCUGACGCUAAUGCGCGAAAGCAAGGGGGAGCAAACAGGAUUAGAUACCCCUGGUAGUCCUUGCCGUAAACGAUGUAUACUAGGUGUAGCCGGACUCAACCCUGGCUUUGCCGUAGCGAACGCGUUAAGUAUACCGCCUGGGGAGUACGCUCGCAAGGGUGAAACU